rnacentral:rRNA from 1 species
AGCGAACGCUGGCGGCAGGCUUAACACAUGCAAGUCGAGCGGGCGUAGCAAUACGUCAGCGGCAGACGGGUGAGUAACGCGUGGGAACGUACCUUUUGGUUCGGAACAACACAGGGAAACUUGUGCUAAUACCGGAUAAGCCCUUACGGGGAAAGAUUUAUCGCCGAAAGAUCGGCCCGCGUCUGAUUAGCUAGUUGGUGAGGUAACGGCUCACCAAGGCGACGAUCAGUAGCUGGUCUGAGAGGAUGAUCAGCCACAUUGGGACUGAGACACGGCCCAAACUCCUACGGGAGGCAGCGGUGGGGAAUAUUGGACAAGGGGGGCAAACCUGAUCCAGCCAUGCCGCGUGAGUGAUGAAGGCCCUAGGGUUGUAAAGCUCUUUUGUGCGGGAAGAUAAUGACGGUACCGCAAGAAUAAGCCCCGGCUAACUUCGUG